AUUCAGCUGACGAAUCCCAAAUAGGACGAAACACGCGUCCUGGAU
rnacentral:hammerhead_ribozyme from 1 species